GUUAGCCAUUAGUAUCACUGGACCAUCCCCAAUCCUUACGCUGGAGCAAUUUAAUUCCACUGAUCCAUUGAAUUCAGAUCCGUGACAUUCCUUGUUGGCCAAACAUUGACUAUGCUCACAUUCUGUGGAGAUGAGAGAGAAUGAGGAAUAUAUGGAAAGAAAAAGACAGACAGACAAAUGGAAAGAUUUUUAGAUCACAUGAUUACGAAUGUAAAGACAUAAUUAUUAAGAGAUGUAGUAUAGUUUUUAAAAAUAUAAAUCGGCCUGCGACAGUAGGCCUGGAGACGAGAAAGAAACUUUAAUAUGACUAGUCAAAGAGUCUCAUUGCCUCCUCUUAGUAACUGCACUCACUGGUAGCUUGACUCCAUACUUUUUAUGAUUGAUACAGUCAGUGGAGAAAAGGAGAGAGAAUGGAAAAGAAAGAUGUUUGCAUAAGAUGUAAAGAAAAAAAACAAUUAAGAAUGUACUAUUGAUAAUAGUAAUAGUAAUAAUGAUGAUGAUGGUUCUUCAUUUGCUCAC